GUUAUUUUUGACAUUUCACAUUCAUUAAUAGCAAUUUGAGUGAGAUUUUAAUAGAAAGACUAAUUUGUUGACAAAAUAAUAUCUCAAAGACUAAAUUGUUUUUCAUAAGAAAGGGUAAAUUUCACCCAUCAUCCUUGAACUUAGGGCACUAUAACAAUAUCGUCCAUAAAUUUCAAUUUGUACCAUAACACCCCUCGACUUUAAUUUGGGGAACAAUAAACACCACACCAUCUCCCCCUCCUACAUGUCACUACCCCCCCUCUCUAUUUGUCCUUCCCUUUUACAUCCCCUCCUCUCUCGGCUUCACUUGAUGGCACCUUCCUCUUCCACUCCCCAUCCCCUUCUUUCAUCUCCUCCCUCCAUUAACAAAUCCCCUUCCAAUCAUAGCCAUAAAAUAAACAUCCCUCAUUCAGUUCAUGCAAAUGAUCAUCCUUGGUCGCACUUUCUCUAGCAAGCUCCUAAGAAUUUCAAAUCACCAUUAAAAAUUUAUUUUGCAUACAAACAUUGCAUGUAAU
rnacentral:misc_RNA from 1 species